rnacentral:rRNA from 1 species
CGCAUCUGUGCAUGCAGCAUAUCAAUAAGCGGAGGAAAAGAAACUAACAAGGAUUCCCUUAGUAACGGCGAGUGAAGCGGGAAGAGCUCAAAUUUGAAAUCUUCAAGGUUUUACCUUGACGAAUUGUAGUUUAAAGAAGUGUUUUCUGUUGAAGUUUUGGUAAAAGUUCUUUGGAAUAGGACAUCAUAGAGGGUGAGGAAUCCCGUAUUUGACCAUUAUUUUCAGCUGUGUGAUACACUUUCAAAGAGUCGGAUUGUUUGGGAAUGCAGUCCAAAAUGGGUGGUAAAUUUCAUCUAAAGCUAAAUAUUGGCGAGAGACCGAUAGCGAACAAGUACCGUGAGGGAAAGAUGAAAAGAACUUUGAAAAGAGAGUUAAACAGUACGUGAAAUUGUCAAAAGGGAAGCGUUUGACACCAGUGUUGUUUUCUCGAAAAUCAAUUAAAAAGAGUUAGAUUUUGUUGUGUAUUGACCUUAACAGCUUGCAUUUCAAUUUUCUUGCUUUUUUUAAUGCACUUUUCGUUUAACAAGUCAACAUCAGUUUCUUUUGUUGUAAAAAGGUCAUUGGAAGGUGGCUUUCUUUUCGGAGAAAGUGUUUAUAGCCUUUGACUCCUGCAAUCGGAGAGACUGAGGUCUGCAGCGUAGAUCCUUCGGGGUUAGAUACAUUUGUGCUAAGUUAUAGCUUUUUAUAGACAACUUGUUGACUAUGAUUAGUCUUGUAGCUUACUCGCUUAUGCUAUUUUACCUACGCUUAGGAUGUUGAUCACACGCGCGUGCUCG